rnacentral:lncRNA from 1 species
UCAACUUUUGUUAAUUUGUUCGUGUAUGUAACAUCGUAUAUAAUUUUAACGAAAGAAAUCUCUGUAUAUUACAUCAGGAGUUUCGAUAUCAUACACUAGUCAAAUUUGUUAUUAAAUUUGAUCAUCCGUACAAGGACAUCAUUUGUAAAGAUAAAAACAACAUGCCGACAGCUGAUACGUUCAAGUUUAGCAGAUCCAAUAUGUAAUUGUUGACUUUAUAAAAAGCACAACAACGACGUCAUUUACCUCAAAAGCUAAAAGAAAACUCUUUGCAUACCUAUUCAGAAAGGUCAUAUUUACAAUA